GGAAAGGUGCUCGAGUGGUUGAAGAGGCACGCCUGGAAAGCGUGUAUACCCCUAAAGGGUAUCGCAGGUUCGAAUCCUGUUCUUUCCG
rnacentral:tRNA from 1 species